GAUGAACGCUGGCGGCGUGCCUAAUACAUGCAAGUCGAGCGAACAGACGAGGAGCUUGCUCCUUCGACGUUAGCGGCGGACGGGUGAGUAACACGUAGGUAACCUACCUAUAAGACUGGGAUAACUUCGGGAAACCGGAGCUAAUACCGGAUAAUAUUUCGAACCGCAUGGUUCGAUAGUGAAAGAUGGCUUUGCUGUCACUUAUAGAUGGACCUGCGCCGUAUUAGCUAGUUGGUAAGGUAACGGCUUACCAAGGCAACGAUACGUAGCCGACCUGAGAGGGUGAUCGGCCACACUGGAACUGAGACACGGUCCAGACUCCUACGGGAGGCAGCAGUAGGGAAUCUUCCGCAAUGGGCGAAAGCCUGACGGAGCAACGCCGCGUGAGUGAUGAAGGUCUUCGGAUCGUAAAACUCUGUUAUUAGGGAAGAACAAACGUGUAAGUAACUGUGCACGUCUUGACGGUACCUAAUCAGAAAGCCACGGCUAGCUACGUG
rnacentral:rRNA from 1 species